CCGCAAGGAGGGCGCUUACCACUUUGUGAUUCAUGACUGGGGUGAAGUCGUAACAAGGUAACCGUAGGGGAACCUGCGGNUGGAUCACCUCCUUAACUAUAAACUCUCACUAUCAGUGUCCACUCACAUUAUCUGAUAAAUC
rnacentral:misc_RNA from 1 species